UACGAAGGGGGCUAGCGUUGCUCGGAAUCACUGGCGUAAAGCGCACGUAGGCGGAUUGCUAAGUCAGGGGUGAAAUCCUGGAGCCUCAACUCCAGAACUGCCUUGAUACUGGCGACCUUGAGUCCGGGAGAGGUGAGUGGAACUGCGAGUGUAGAGGUGAAAUUCGUAGAUAUUCGCAAGAACACCAGUGGCGAAGGCGGCUCACUGGCCCGGUACUGACGCUGAGGUGCGAAAGCGUGGGAG
rnacentral:rRNA from 1 species